rnacentral:misc_RNA from 1 species
AACGCACGAGACCUGCGGACCUGCGGAAGGAUCAUUAUUGAAUAAACUUGAUGGGUUUGUAGCUGGUCUUUGGGACAUGUGCACAAUCUGUCUUGCUUUUCAUUCAUCCACCUGUGCACUUGUGUAGUCACUUUGCAGAAAUAUAGGAGAUGUGAUUAAAAUCAACCGAUAGGCUGGAUAUGAGGUGUGCUCACUCGGAGCUUUCCUCUGGGUGAUCACUGAUCCAUUUCGCAAGGAGAC